UGUUUCAUUUCAGUCAUUACAACAUUUGGAGAAGUCUUAAAGUUUAAACCUGACACUUGGUUUUAUAGAUUGAUUUAAUCGUCUGAUUGUUUCUUUUCUGUGAAUUUCUCAGUCAUUAUCUGGAGAAUAAUGUCAAUAUUUUGUACAAUCAAGAAACAAUGAAAUAUUCAGUCUGAAAUUCUUUUCCAUAAAACUCAUUUUGUCAAACUGUCUUCCUUUUCUUUGUUACCAGAACCUGUUGUACCAGCCCAACCACCAAAUUCUUGCCCCAACUGCACAGAUUGCAAGUUUAAAAUUUCAAGCUCCAGCAAUCUCUGCAUCUUCAUCACUAUAAUGGGAAGGUAUGACCUCUAUACUCCAAUCUAUACAUGCCACUGUGGAUAUGAGCAUCAACAACUAGGCAAGACCAUGCACAAGUCUGGUUUCUAUUCAUCAUUAGGAAAGAGCAGCACAUUCUACAGCACCAGUCUGCUUGAAUCAUGGCACCAUAUAAAAAGAAAUUGUCCCGGAACAUCAUUUCGGGCAUUAGUCACUGCACUGGAAUCCUUUGGUGCUUCUCGUGGGCGUAUUGGACCCAUUAAUUAUAUAACUUCGAAGAGAGUGUUCUUCGAAUGGCGAUUCCA